UACGUAGGGGGCGAGCGUUGUCCGGAAUUAUUGGGCGUAAAGAGCGUGUAGGCGGUCUGGUAAGUCUGUCGUGAAAGGCUGGGGCUCAACCCUGGACGUGCGAUGGAUACUGCCAGACUAGAGGAUGGUAGAGGCCAGUGGAAUUCCCGGUGUAGCGGUGAAAUGCGCAGAUAUCGGGAGGAACACCAGUAGCGAAGGCGGCUGGCUGGGCCAUACCUGACGCUGAGACGCGAAAGCGUGGGGAGCAAACAGG
rnacentral:rRNA from 1 species